CAAAGUUGAAUAUGCUGACCGUAGACAGUAGGUGCUACAAAUGCUUAAUUUCCUACCGAGGUGUUAUGAUAAAGUCUUGUAUUGAAUUGCUAUGCAAAUUCUAUUACAGUCAUCAUGCCUUCGUAGUUUCUACGGAGGCUUUUUUAAUGCUUCG
rfam:Paenibacillus selenitireducens strain ES3-24 ES3-24_scaffold22, whole genome shotgun sequence.